rnacentral:rRNA from 1 species
AGAACGAACGCUGGCGGCAUGCCUAACACAUGCAAGUCGAACGCUCGUAGCAAUACGGGAGUGGCAGACGGGUGAGUAACGCGUGGGAACAUACCCUCCGGUUCGGAAUAACUCAGGGAAACUUGAGCUAAUACCGGAUACGGCUUAGCGGCGAAAGAUUUAUCGCCGGAGGAUUGGCCCGCGUUCGAUUAGCUUGUUGGUGAGGUAACGGCUCACCAAGGCGACGAUCGAUAGCUGGUCUGAGAGGAUGAUCAGCCACAUUGGGACUGAGACACGGCCCAAACUCCUACGGGAGGCAGCAGUGGGGAAUAUUGGACAAUGGGCGCAAGCCUGAUCCAGCCAUGCCGCGUGAGUGAUGACGGCCUUAGGGUUGUAAAGCUCUUUCGCUCGGGACGAUAAUGACGGUACCGAGAUAAGAAGCCCCGGCUAACUUCGUGCCAGCAGCCGC